UUACUAUUCCCUCCGUAAGGAAAUACUUGUCAUAGAAAUGCAUAGAAAUGGAUGUAUCUAGAACUAAAAUACAUCUAGAUAUAUCCAUUUCUCCGACAAGUAUUUCGGGACGGAGGGAUUAUUUG
rfam:Triticum aestivum genome assembly, contig: Triticum_aestivum_CS42_TGACv1_scaffold_577131_7BL